CCUACGGGUGGCAGCAGUGGGGGAUAUUGCACAAUGGGGGAAACCCUGAUGCAGCGACGCCGCGUGGGUGAAGAAGCGCCUCGGCGCGUAAAGCCCUGUCAGCAGGGAAGAAAAUGACGGUACCUGAAGAAGAAGCCCCGGCUAACUACGUGCCAGCAGCCGCGGUAAUACGUAGGGGGCAAGCGUUAUCCGGAAUUACUGGGUGUAAAGGGAGCGUAGACGGCUGUGCAAGUCUGGAGUGAAAGGCGGGGGCCCAACCCCCGGACUGCUCUGGAAACUGUAUGGCUGGAGUGCAGGAGAGGUAAGCGGAAUUCCUAGUGUAGCGGUGAAAUGCGUAGAUAUUAGGAGGAACACCAGUGGCGAAGGCGGCUUACUGGACUGUAACUGACGUUGAGGCUCGAAAGCGUGGGGAGCAAACAGGAUUAGAUACCCCUGUAGUC
rnacentral:rRNA from 1 species